AUGUCUGGUUGGUUUCAAGAGAAGUCCGGCGACGCCACCAAGACGGCGUCCGAGACGGGGCAGUCCAUUCAAGACCGCGCCGUUGAGGCAAAAGACCAGACCGGGGCCUUCCUUGGUGAGAAAAGCGAGGCUGUCACGAAGGCUGCCUCCGAGACUACCGAGGCGGCUAAAAAGAUGGGCGACGAGGCCAUGGGGAAGGUGUCCGAGACGGUGGAAGCCGGUAAGGAUCACGCCGUCGAGGGCAAAGACCAGACGGGCAGCUUUUUCGGCGACAAGACUGACGCUGUCAAGAAGACGGCCACCGAGACUGCCGAUGCUGCCAAGGAGAAGUCCACCGAGGCCGCACAGCAUGUCCAGGACACCGCUGCACAGUACACCAAGGAUACCCCGGUCGCCCCCAAGGAAAACGUCUUCCAACAGGCCGGCGGGAAUAUGGUGGGUGCUGCUACUGACGCCAAGGACGCUGUCAUGAACACGCUCGGGAUGGGAGGAGACAAGUGA
rnacentral:rRNA from 1 species